rnacentral:lncRNA from 1 species
AAAGCGAAAGUGAAAGCGAAAGCGAAAGUAAAACGAAUCGCUGUGGUUCUCCCGUUCCUCCCCCGUUCGGCGUCGUUUUCGGCUCGCAGCCGGACGUCUACCCCGGCGGCGAAAUCCUCUGGGCCGCCCCCCGGCCCGCCUCCGACUUUUCGGCCGCCGACGCCGCCGAAUUCGCCGCCGGCCUCCGGCGCCGCAGCUCCAAGAUGAGCUUGGCCGUGCUCCGCAUCCGCCCCGGCGCCCUCCGCGUCCCCCACUGGCACUUCAACGCCGACGAGCACGGCUACGUCCUGCAGGCACGCGGUUUUUUUCCCAUUUCCCCUUUUUCUCUCCUCCCUCCUCCCCCCCAUCCUCAUCCUCACCCCCCCCUCGCUCUCAACCUCUCCCCCCCCGCCUUCAAAACCGUUUUCCGUGCGGCGCGUGCGAGAAACCGCCCCCCCACGCACGCGCCCCUUGCACGUGGGGGGGGUGGCGACGUGCGAGCGGCGGCGUUGCAGGGCACGGCGUGGAUCGGCGUCGUCGACGCCGGCGAUGUCACCGGCAACGUCACCGUGGUCACCUACAACGUCACCGCCGGCCACGCCGUCUUCUUCCCCCGCAACGCCGUCCACUGGCUGAAGAACGUGGGCGCCGGCGACUGCGUCGUCGUGCUCUUCUUCGGCACGCACGAGGAGCUGCGCACGCUGGACGCCGACGACGCUUUCUUCGCCACGCCGCGCGAAGUGGCCGCGCGGGCGCUGCAGGUGAUGCCCCCGGGGGGAGGGGGUUGGGUCCUGGAAGGGUGAAAGUGGCGGUGGUUGCGUCCCCCUACCACCUUCCUUGGGCUCUCUAUUAUGUUUUAUAUGGAGGUUGGGUCCUGGAAGGUGCGAGGGGCGGUGGUUGUGUCCCCCUAGCACCUUCCUGGGGCUCCCUACAAUGUUUCAUAGGGAGGUUGGGUCCUGGAAGGGUGAAAGUGGCGGUGGUUGGGUCCCUUUACGACCUUCCUUGGGCUCCCUAUUAUGUUUUAUAUGGAGGUUGGGUCCUGGAAGGUGCGAGGGGCGGUGGUUGCAUCCCCCUAGCACCUUCCUGGGGCUCUCUACAAUGUUUCAUAGGGAGGUUGGGUCCUGGAAGGUGCAAGGUGCGGUGGUUGCGUCCCCCUACCACCUUCCUUGGGCUCCCUGUUAUGUUUUAUAUGGAGGUUGGGUCCUGGAAGGUGCAAGGGGUGGUGGUUGGGUCCUGGAAGGUGCGAGGCGCGGUGGUUGCAUCCCCCUAGCACCUUCCUUGGGCUCCCUACAUGUUCUAUAUGGAGGUUGGGUCCUGGAAGCUAAAACGCUCAAUGCUUGGCUCCCCUCCCAUUCUCUCUUGGGUUUUCAGGUCCUGGCAGGUUCAACUCUUGCUGUUUGCUCUCCCUCCCAUUUUCCCUCGGGUUUUCAGGUCCUGGCAGGUUCAACUCUUGGUCUUUGCCCUCCCUCCCAUUCUCCCUCGGUUUUUUGGGUCCUGGCAGGUUCAACGCUCGGUGUUUGCCCUCCCUCCCAUUUUCGCUCGGGUUUUUGGGUCCUGGCAGGUUCAACGCUCGUUAUUUGGUUCCCCUCCCAUUUUCCCUUGGGUUUUCGGGUCCUGGCAGGUUCAACUCUUGCCGGUUGGCUCCCCUCCCAUUUUCCCUCGGGUUUUCGGGUCCUGGCAGGUUCAACACUUGCCAGUUGGCUCCCCUCCCAUUCUCCCUUGGGUUUUCGGGUCCUGGCAGGUUCCACUCUUGGUGUUUGCCCUCCCUCCCAUUCUCGCUCGGGUUUUUGGGUCCUGGCAGGUGCAACUCUUGCCAAUUGGCUCCCUUACCAUUUUCCCUUGUGUUUUUGGGUCCUGGAAGAUUCAAUGCUUGCCAGUUGGCUCCCCUCCCAUUUUCCCUCGGGUUUUUGGGUCCUGGCAGGUUCAAUGCUCGGUGUUUGCCCUCCCUCCCAUUUUCCCUCGGGUUUUCAGGUCCUGGCAGGUUCAACGCUCGGUGUUUGUCUUCCUUCCCAUUUUCUGUUGCGUUUUUGGGUCCUGGCAGGUUCAACGCUCGGUGUUUGCCCUCCCUCCUAUUUUCCCUCGGGUUUUUGGGUCCUGGCAGGUUCAACGCUCGGUGUUNCCAUUGACUCUAAUGACCCCCAUUCAUUCUAUUGAUCCCCAUUCAUUCCAAUGACCCCAUUCAUUCCAAUGAGCCUCGUUCAUACUAAUGAGCCCCAUUCAUUCCAAUGAGCCCCAUUCAUUCCAAUGAGCCCCAUUCAUUCCAAUGAGCCCCACUGAUUCCAAUGAGCCCCACUGAUUCUAAUUAACCCCCAUUCUAAUGAGCCUCCAUUGAUUCUAUUGAGCCCCCAUUCGUUCCAGUGACCCCCAUUCAUCCCAGUCCAUCGCCAUUCAAUCUAAUCCACCCCCAUUCACUCUAAUUAACCCCCACUAAUUCCAGUGACCCCCAUUCAUUCUCAUGAGCCCCCGUUUAUCCUAAUGACCCCCAUUCAUCCCAAUCCACCCCCAUUCAUUCUAUUGACCCCCAUUCAUUCUACUGACCCCCACUGAUUCUAACGAGCCCCAUUCAUCCCAACGAGCCUCCUUCACUCUAACAAGCCCCCAUUCAUUCUAAUUAACCCCCAUUCUAAUGAGCCCCCAUUCAUUCUAUUGAGCCCCAUUUAUUCUAAUGAGCCCCAUUUAUUCUAUUAAGCCCCAUUGAUUCCAAUGACCCCCAUUCAUUCUAUUGAGCCCCACUGAUUCCGAUGACCCCCAUCCAUUCC